rnacentral:tRNA from 1 species
UGGCUCAGUUGGUAGAGCAUUGUGUUUGCAACGCCAGGGUUGUGGGUUCAAUUCCCAU